CCUACGGUGGGCAGCAGUGGGGGAUAUUGCACAAUGGGGGGAACCCUGAUGCAGCGGCGCCGCGUGGGUGAAGAAGCGCCUCGGCGCGUAAAGCCCUGUCAGUAGGGAAGAAAAUGACGGUACCUGAAGAAGAAGCCCCGGCUAACUACGUGCCAGCAGGCGCGGUAAUACGUAGGGGGCCAGCGUUAUCCGGAUUUACUGGGUGUAAAGGGGGCGCAGACGGCGAUGCAAGCACGGGGUGAAAGCCCGGGGCACAACCCCGGGACUGCUCUUGGAACUGCGUGGCUGGAGUGCAGGAGGGGCAGGCGGAAUGCCUGGGGUAGCGGGGAAAUGCGUAGAUAUCAGGAGGAACACCGGUGGCGAAGGCGGCCUGCUGGACUGCAACUGACGUUGAGGCCCGAAAGCGUGGGGAGCAAACAGGAUUAGAUACCCUAGUAGUC
rnacentral:rRNA from 1 species